CCUANGGGGGGCUGCAGUGGGGAAUCUUGGGCAAUGGGCGAAAGCCUGACCCAGCGACGCCGCGUGGAGGAUGAAGGCCUUCGGGUCGUAAACUCCUGUCACGGGGGAAGAAAAACCGGCCUGUAAGGGCCGGCUUGACGCCACCCCGGGAGGAAGCACCGGCUAACUCCGUGCCAGCAGCUGCGGUAAUACGGAGAGUGCAAGCGUUGCUCGGAUUCACUGGGCUUAAAGGGCACGUAGGCGGUCAGGCGACCCAUGCGUGAAAGCCUUCCGCUCAACGGAAGAAUUGCGCGUGGAAUUACCUGACUAGAGGACGGUAAGGGAGCGUGGAACGCCUGGUGGAGCGGUGAAAUGCGUAGAUAUCAGGAGGAACGGCGGAGGCGAAAGCGACGCUCUGGGCCGUUUCUGACGCUGAGGUGCGAAAGCCAGGGGAGCAAACGGGAUUAGAUACCCCUNUANUC
rnacentral:rRNA from 1 species